rnacentral:rRNA from 1 species
GCUUAGCUGUCUCCUCUUUCAAGUCAAUGAAAUUGAUCUGCCCGUGCAGAAGCGGACAUAAGCACAUAAGACGAGAAGACCCUAUGGAGCUUUAGACACCAGGCAGAUCACGUCAAACAACCUUGAAUUAACAAGUAAAAACGCAGUGACCCCUAGCCCAUAUGUCUUUGGUUGGGGCGACCACGGGGGAAAAUUAAGCCCCCAUGUGGACUGGGGGCACUGCCCCCACAGCCAAGAGCCACAGCUCUAAGCACCAGAAUAUCUGACCAAAAAUGAUCCGGCAAACGCCGAUCAACGGACCGAGUUACCCUAGGGAUAA